GCUAGAGAGUAGUUGCGGUAGGCGGAAUGUAUGGUGUAGCGGUGAAAUGCUUAGAGAUCAUACAGAACACCGAUUGCGAAGGCAGCUUACCAAACUAUAUCUGACGUUGAGGCACGAAAGCGUGGGGAGCAAACAGGAUUAGAUACCCUGGUAGUCCACGCAGUAAACGAUGAUAACUCGUUGUCGGCGAUACACAGUCGGUGACUAAGCGAAAGCGAUAAGUUAUCCACCUGGGGAGUACGUUCGCAAGAAUGAAACUCAAAGGAAUUGACGGGGGCCCGCACAAGCGGAGGAACAUGUGGUUUAAUUCGAUGAUACGCGAGGAACCUUACCCGGGCUUGAAAGUUAGCGACGAUUCUUGAAAGAGGAUUUCCCUUCGGGGCGCGAAACUAGGUGCUGCAUGGUUGUCGUCAGCUCGUGCCGUGAGGUGUCGGGUUAAGUCCCAUAACGAGCGCAACCCCUACUGAUAGUUGCCAUCAGAGCGUUUGAGCGAUCAAACAAGCUGGGCACUCUAUCGGGACUGCCGGUGUAAGCCGAGAGGAAGGUGGGGAUGACGUCAAAUCAGCACGGCCCUUACGUCCGGGGCUACACACGUGUUACAAUGGUAGGUACAGAGGGCAGCUACCCAGCGAUGGGAUGCGAAUCUCGAAAGCCUAUCUCAGUUCGGAUUGGAGGCUGAAACCCGCCUCCAUGAAGUUGGAUUCGCUAGUAAUCGCGCAUCAGCCAUGGCGC
rnacentral:rRNA from 1 species